CGGACUAACACAUUUGACAGGGGGGACUUUGAAAAUUUUGGCAAAAAAUACUGUUCAUCUUCUUCUUUGAGAAGAAGAAGCAAAAACCCCAAACCAUCGUGAAAAAAAAAAGAACCACCCCCCCUCCCCCCAACCUUAGCGCCGUUUGACACCAUUUCCACAUUUCGCUCUCAACAGAGAAACAAAAAAUACAUACAAAUUUCACCUUUCCUUAGAUCUGUACACACAUACUGAACUACAUAUUUGUCCAUUUAGACUCACGCGUAGAGGGAUCCAUAGAAAGGAUGUGAAGUUGACUCCGGCAAAUGAAUCUCAAAAGCGAAGCGUUUCAACUUGAGAUCUAAAAAAGAGAAAGCCGAGGAGCACAAAAAUUUGUUAAAAAAAAAUGACUUCGAAGAGCUAUUGAGUUUGGUUGAUUUGGCUAUACAGUAGCCGGGUUUUCAAAGUUGCAUCGAGUUUUUGGAGGGCUAUUUUAUCGCUGACUACUUGCUUGGACUGCAGCUGGGUUUCUUCCUCUUUCAUCACUAUAUUGCUACUUGUUUUAUUCCCUAAGAGAUCGAUAGACAGCUUUGUAGUAUAUAAAUGAUGGAUCUGCUAUUAGUUCUGUAAAUGGCUUAGUACAGGUACUUCCUGGACAGGUUAGGUAAACCUGUAGUACUGCAUGCGUACAGAGAACAGAAUACGAUUGCAGAUAAAUUAGCAAAGGUAGGCUGCAAUUUUGCAAACUACUCAACAGUGCAUGUUUUGAAUAUUAGCCCAGACUAUGCUUGCAGAGUUUUUGAACAUGAUAAGAGUGCAGUUCUGGAAUAAAAUGAGAGUGCAGUGCAAGAACUUGUUUUGAAACACUAUAAGCCUCACUCUGAAAACCUUAAUAUUGUAAAUAGGUAUUGUAAUAGUAGCUUGACGGAUAGUAGUAUUGGUAUUAGCUUUUAUAAUCCUUUAGCACCAACAGUUGGUGCAAUAUCAUGUAACGAGCUGCAAGAUAUGUAGUCAUUCUCUGUACGCAAUGUUUAAUAUUUAUACA